GGGUUGUGAGGUUAAGCGACUAAGCGUACACGGUGGAUGCCCUGGCAGUCAGAGGCGAUGAAGGACGUGCUAAUCUGCGAAAAGCGUCGGUAAGGUGAUAUGAACCGUUAUAGCCGGCGAUGUCCGAAUGGGGAAACCCAGUGCAAUCCGUUGCACUAUCGUUAAGUGAAUACAUAGCUUAACGAGGCGAACCGGGGGAACUGAAACAUCUAAGUACCCCGAGGAAAAGAAAUCAACCGAGAUUCCCCCAGUAGCGGCGAGCGAACGGGGAGCAGCCCAGAGCCUGAAUCAGCAUGUGUGGUAGUGGAACGGUCUGGAAAGGCCGGCGAUACAGGGUGACAGCCCCGUACACAAAAUUGCACGUGCUGUGAGCUCGAUGAGUAGGGCGGGACACGUGGUAUCCUGUCUGAAUAUGGGGGGACCAUCCUCCAAGGCUAAAUACUCCUGACUGACCGAUAGUGAACCAGUACCGUGAGGGAAAGGCGAAAAGAACCCCGGCGAGGGGAGUGAAAAAGAACCUGAAACCGUGUACGUACAAGCAGUGGGAGCCUCUUUUAUGGGGUGACUGCGUACCUUUUGUAUAAUGGGUCAGCGACUUAUAUUCUGUAGCAAGGUUAACCG
rnacentral:rRNA from 1 species